rnacentral:rRNA from 1 species
AGGGAAUCUUCCACAAUGGACGAAAGUCUGAUGGAGCAACGCCGCGUGAGUGAUGAAGGUUUUCGGAUCGUAAAACUCUGUUGUAAUGGAAGAACCAGUACGUCAGGCAAUGGACGUACCUUGACGGUACCUUAUUAGAAAGCCACGGCUAACUACGUGCCAGCAGCCGCGGUAAUACGUAGGUGGCAAGCGUUGUCCGGAAUUAUUGGGCGUAAAGCGCGCGCAGGUGGUUUCUUAAGUCUGAUGUGAAAGGCUACGGCUCAACCGUAGUAAGCAUUUGAAACUGGGAGACUUGAGUGCAGAAGAGGAAAGUGGAAUUCCAAGUGUAGCGGUGAAAUGCGUAGAGAUUUGGAGGAACACCAGUGGCGAAGGCGACUUUCUGGUCUGCAACUGACGCUGAGGCGCGAAAGCAUGGGGAGCAAACA